GAACAGGGGAUCUAUCAGGAGGUACUCACUGUCCUUCAGCCGCAGCCUCCCACUGCGUAGUGCGCACUGUAUUGCUGCGCUCUGCGGCGAAGGUCAGCGAAUUAAUGGAUCCGUCGCGGCGCAGAGGCGUUCCGCUCCGGGCUUUUUAAUGCCGCCUGCCCCGACCCUCAACCGCCGCUUUUAUGACCAUUUCCAUCGUCUUCUGCACUCCCAGAUCUGCUAGCCGAUCGCUGAUCCGACGGCAUUCCCGGCGAUCACCGUCGAUCGGCUGUUCCUGCAGCGGAGCUUGCUGAGGGGUAGAGUUGGGGUUCUGUGAGUGCAGCAGUGUGGGAGGAGUGGGAGACUUUUGAUAUCUGAUCUGCUAUUUUGGUCAUUUGUUCUAUACUUUUUAUUGCGUUUUGUAGUUUUGCUGCUUUCUGUUUUUCGUACGAUGAAUCCGCUUUGCUGCAUUGCGCCGGUGUCUCUGGAGCGCGGGGAUCGCGGGAGUGCGCCGGUUGCGUCGUUGAAGGCGAAUGCGAAACCGGCGGCGGGGUUAGAGAAUCCUGCGAGGAACUCGUCGAGCAAGCAGCUUACGCCCGCGCAAAUGUCGGCGGUGGCGGGGAAUCUGGAGUUGGGAGCUAGCUGCGAAGCGGAGGACGGGCCUAGCCGCCCGGCGGAGGGAAGAGAGGGGAAGAGCGGCGGCGCUGUCAGUGGAAAGGUGGCGGGGAUUUUGUACAAGUGGGUGAACUACGGGAAAGGGUGGAGAUCGCGGUGGUUCGUGCUGCAGGAUGGGGUUUUGUCGUACUAUAAGGUGCAUGGGCCGGACAAGAUCUCUGUGGGGUCGGCGUCAUGCGAGGCAAGCGGUGUGCGGGUGAUCGGCGAAGAAUCACUACGGAGAGUGAAGAGGGAGCAACGGGCUGGGGAAGUGAUGGGACAAGCGGAUAUGAAGCAGUGGAAGCCGUUUGGGGAGAUUCAUUUGAAGGUUUCUUCGAUUCGUUCAAGCAAGUCAGAUGAUAAAAGGCUGUCUAUUUUCACUGGUACAAAGACCCUCCAUUUGCGUUGCGAUUCAAGGGAGGAUCGUAGUUUGUGGAUUGAAGCUCUGCUUUUAGCUAAAGAUCUGUUUCCUCGUUUUCCAACAAGCAAUGACUUGGAAACCGCUGUAGAUGUUACGGUUUCUACGGAGAAACUGCGAACUCGAUUAUUGGAGGAAGGUUUGGAUGAAAUAGUAAUAAAAGAGUGUGAGUCUAUCGUGCUAUGUGAAACAUCUGUGCUACUGAAUCAGUUGAGGUGUCUUCAGCAAAAACAUAUUGUCUUGCUUGAUGCACUAAGACAGUUGGAGACAGAAAAGUUAGAGCUGGAGACUACUGUAGUAGACGAGACAAAAGAACGGGAGGCAAACCUUGGGCAGGGGAAUGGAAGAUUUAGCGAUUUCUAUUCAGUUAUGUCAGAUGGCAGUGCAAGUGAUUCUGAUGUAGACAUUGAAAGCCAAGGAGCAGAUGGUGAAACUGAUGAUGAUGAUGGAAUUUAUUUUGAUACAAGAGAUUUCUUGUCUUCAGAAUUUCUGCGAAGCGUUUCAUAUCGUAGUCAGGAAUCCAAAUGUAAUGGAGGUCUUAGUGUAAAUGGAAAAGCCUUCUACUUUCCUGACGUGAUGCAAGCUAAUGAUGGAGUCAACACCAUAGAAUACCCCUUUGUUAAAAGGAGGGACAAGUUGCCAGAACCAAAAGAAAAAGAAAAGCCUAUUGGUCUUUGGUCGAUAAUUAAGGAAAACAUUGGAAAAGAUCUCUCUGGAGUUUGUCUUCCAGUUUACUUUAAUGAGCCUCUUUCUUCUUUGCAAAAAUGCUUUGAAGAUUUGGAAUACUCAUACUUGGUUGAUCGAGCAUUGGAAUGGGGAAAGCAGGGGAACAACUUGAUGAGGAUUCUAAACACUGCAGCCUUUGCAGUAUCAGGAUAUGCUUCAACAGAAGGUCGGCAGUGCAAACCUUUCAAUCCUCUUCUUGGGGAAACAUAUGAGGCUGAUUAUCCAGAUAAAGGCUUACGUUUCUUUUCUGAGAAGGUGAGUCACCAUCCAAUGGUUGUUGCCUGUCACUGUGAAGGUAGAGGAUGGAAAUUCUGGGGUGAUUCCAAUUUGAAAGGGAAGUUCUGGGGUCGAUCUAUUCAGCUUGAUCCUAUUGGAAUACUAACACUUCAAUUUGAAGAUGGGGAAACAUUCCAGUGGAGUAAAGUGACAACAUCUAUUUAUAAUAUCAUACUCGGUAAAAUAUAUUGUGAUCACUAUGGUACUAUGCGCAUAAAAGGCUGUGGUCAGUAUUCUUGUAAACUCAAAUUCAAGGAGCAGUCUAUCAUUGAUCGUAAUCCCCAUCAGGUGCAUGGAUUUGUGCAAGAUAAUAGAACGGGAAACAAGGUUGCAAUGUUGUUGGGCAAGUGGGAUGAAGCAAUGUACUAUGUACUUGGUGAUUCUAGCACUAAACCGAAGGGCUAUGAUCCAAUGUCAGAGGCUGUUCUUCUAUGGGAGCGUGACAAGUCUACAACCCAAACCCGAUACAACCUUACGCCCUUUGCCAUAUCAUUGAAUGAGUUAACACCUGGUAUGGCGGACAAAUUACCACCGACAGAUUCACGUCUAAGGCCCGAUCAAAGGCAUUUAGAAAAUGGAGAAUAUGAGCUUGCAAAUGCUGAAAAGCUUAGACUUGAACAAUUACAGAGACAGGUUUUGCGCUCUUUCACAGGCAAGAAAGUUGCAGGAAAAGGGAUGGCAACCCAGGUGGUUCAGGAAAGAUACAGAAGAUGAUUGUUACAAGUAUGUCGGAGGGUACUGGGAAGCAAGACAGGAAAGAAAAUGGGAUGGAAUUCCUAAUAUAUUUGGUCAGAACGAUGCUAUGCGCAGUGUAGAAUCGCCGGCAGGAGCCGAGGGCGGCUUAUAAUGUGGGCAUGAAAGAAGCAAUGCCUGUGUGCUAUUGAGAAGAUUAUGUGGCCAUGCCAGAAGGUGUAGAGACCUGAGCUGCUGUGCAUGUUAUAGGCAGGCUCUGGACCCCAUGACUUGACUGUAAGUUCUUUAUGAGGUCUUGAUAGGCAUUCUAUAAGAGAAGAAAUUAUUGUUCUGCUCUAUUAUAAUAUAACUUAUUAUAUCAUUACUGUAUUUCUUUUAUGUUUGGCAGUAUGUUGAAUUAGGUUAGUAAGACUCUAAUGUACAUAUUUAUCUGGUGUUUUUGUUCCUUGGUGAUGUUUGAUAAGGGGGAAAAAUUGGUUUUUGUGGGUUGUGGUGGAUUUUAAAUUCAUUGGAUUUGCUUUGAGAUUAGUGCAAUAUAAGUUUUUGUUGAUUGUGACUA